rnacentral:ncRNA from 1 species
ACACAUAUGAUGACAGGGACAGUACGAAAUAAUUAAUCUACACAAGCGAAUCAGGGAUGGUGGAAGCCUGAGUAAGAUAUUAUUUUGGAAGAUCACCCUCGAGUACCUCUAUUGAUUUUAUUUGUAAAUAGAGGCGUUUCAUUCACGUUACGAAUGCUAGAGUGGAUUUUUAAAGACGUCGUAUGUCUUUUAAUCUAUAAGGGUGGUACCGCGAGACCUUCUCGUCCCUUCU